GGGUUGUGAGGUUAAGCGACUAAGCGUACACGGUGGAUGCCCUGGCAGUCAGAGGCGAUGAAGGGCGUGCUAAUCUGCGAUAAGCGCCGGUAAGGUGAUAUGAACCGUUAUAACCGGCGAUACCCGAAUGGGGAAACCCAGUGUGACUCGUCACACUAUCAUUAACUGAAUCCAUAGGUUAAUGAGGCGAACCGGGGGAACUGAAACAUCUAAGUACCCCGAGGAAAAGAAAUCAACCGAGAUUCCCCCAGUAGCGGCGAGCGAACGGGGAGGAGCCCAGAGCCUGAAUCAGCAUGUGUGUUAGUGGAAGCGUCUGGAAAGGCGCGCGAUACAGGGUGACAGCCCCGUACACAAAAGCGCAUGUGCUGUGAGCUCGAUGAGUAGGGCGGGACACGUGGUAUCCUGUCUGAAUAUGGGGGGACCAUCCUCCAAGGCUAAAUACUCCUGACUGACCGAUAGUGAACCAGUACCGUGAGGGAAAGGCGAAAAGAACCCCGGCGAGGGGAGUGAAAAAGAACCUGAAACCGUGUACGUACAAGCAGUGGGAGCCCCACCACCAAAGCAUUUGCUGUACCGCGUUGACGGAGCGAAGCGACGUCAAACCGAUAAAACAGCAGUGUAAAGUGAGCCGCAGGGCGCUUUGCGCGACAGCGCAAAGGCAGGCGGUUUCGCGUAGCGAAAGCGAAUGCUUUGGGGUGGGGUGACUGCGUACCUUUUGUAUAAUGGGUCAGCGACUUAUAUUCUGUAGCAAGGUUAACCGAAUAGGGGAGCCGGAGGGAAACCGAGUCUUAAUUGGGCGUUAAGUUGCAGGGUAUAGACCCGAAACCCGGUGAUCUAGCCAUGGGCAGGUUGAAGGUUGGGUAACACUAACUGGAGGACCGAACCGACUAAUGU
rnacentral:rRNA from 1 species